GGACUUCUGAGCCCCGCGGACUUCCUGGAUUUCUUGACCGGUGACUGCGGCGACGCUGAUUGGCUCCCCAGGAUGUCGCCACCCAAUGGGGGAGAGGAGCGCCUGCGCGUCAUCAGUGUCUGGACGGAAAGACCUGACACAGAAGUCGACCCUGGAGUCUUCUAGAAGAAAAGCCACUUCCGGGCAUACAGUGGCAACAAUAAGCAGUUGGGGACAAGCAGUUGGCUCCAUUUGUAUAUGGAGAGAAGCUGUCCUUAAGCAGGGGCGCUGGCCUGCGAGCCCCUCACAGACCCCACAGAGACCAGGCUCUGUCCAUCUGCAGACCAAGCAGCUCCAGAAUCUGCUAAAAAUGACGGAGACUCAGCAACUACCCGGACAAUCUCCCAGGUUCCUCUGUGGUAAUCUCGAUGUCCUUGGGAGCAGAGGGUCCAGGGCAGCAUCAGUCUUCGCUGCCAGGCUCAGAGGGCCCAACAGACUUUCCUGUAGGCUAGGACUUGGGGGACUGGCCUGCUCAGUCUCAGAAAAACAGGGCAGUCAACUCCCCAGUGUCCUGCUUGUCCACAGUUUGGACAGGGUCCUGGCGACGGGCAAGGGUAAGGGAAAGAUUUUGAGGACCUUUAUCUGGUAAGAGUAUUUAAACUAAACAAGCUUUGCCUGUUUCUAGUGACUUGUUUUAGGCUUCACUUUGAGAACAUAUACAGUAGGCUAAAUAAAGCUGAUUUCUGUAAUUAAUUACA